GAGAUUUUCGCAAUGCCCGAAAGGGUGACGAAGCGACGCCGCGUGCGGGAAGAAGGCCUUCGGGUUGUAAACCGCUGUCGGGAGUUAAGGAAUGUAAGGAUGUUAAUAGCAUCUUUGCUUGACUAAGGCUCCGGAGGAAGCCACGGCUAACUCUGUGCCAGCAGCCGCGGUAAUACAGAGGCGGCAAGCGUUGUUCGGAAUUAUUGGGCGUAAAGAGCACGUAGGCGGCUAUGUAAGUCGGUUGUGAAAGCCUUCCGCUCAACGGGAGAACAGCAUCCGAUACUGCAUAGCUUGAGUGCGGGAGGGGAGAGUGGAACUUCUGGUGGAGCGGUGAAAUGCGUAGAUAUCAGAAGGAACGCCGGCGGCGAAAGCGGCUCUCUGGCCCAUAACUGACGCUGAGUGUGCGAAAGCUAGGGGAGCAAACGGGAAUAGAUACCCCGGUAGUCCUAGCCGUAAACGAUGGGCACUAAGUAGAGGGGUUUUA
rnacentral:rRNA from 1 species